CUCACAGUGACGUGACGAAAGAUAAAAACCCUCCCAUUUUUUUUCAUUCUUGUUCAUUCACGAUGCAUCUACAAACGUCCGCUGUUCUUCUUUUCAUUCUUCUCACUGGAGGGUUUUCUCUGGACUGUUAUGACUGUUGGGGGGAGGAAGAUCCUUGUGAACAGACGACAUGUGAUUCUGUAAAUAAGACGUGUACAACUAGAAGACUUGUACAAUAUUAUGGUGACACAGUGACUGAGAGAAAUGGUACAGGAUGUGUAUUUCUAGAUCAGUGUGAAUCCUGGUCCUUUAACAAAAUCUACGACAAGAUUUCAUGGUCUAUCCAGUGCUGUGACACCGACCUCUGCAAUGAACAAGUUGGCCCAGAUUUGUACUCUUGAUGAGAAUGGCAAGCAAUGUUUCACUUGUCAUGAGGAGGACUGCUCAAACACAGUCAGUUGUCGGGGGAAUGAAGACUACUGCUUUACUGGCUACGACCCACUGAUUAUGAAAGGAUGUGCCUCUAAGUACAUCUGUGAUGUUGAACCAGAUUUAUUACAUGGUGUAAACAUCACAUGUUGUUCAGGGAACCUGUGUAACAGUGUUAAGAGUGUCACUCAGAGCUUCCUGUUCCUCUGCUGUUCUCUGCUCUCCUUCAUCCUGCUGCACUGAAUCCAGCAGCAAAGACCCUCCACAUCAGACACAAUUUAAUUAAUUACUGUGCAUUAAAAACAGAAGCAUUAAUUUUCUGAAAUCAUUUGGUUAUCUUUUAAUCCAUAAUAUAAUAACAAGUGGUCUAAAACAAUGAAAUUGCAAGAUCAUGUUUUAUUUAACAAUUGAAUAUAAAUAGAACAACAAUUCUUAACAUGGUUCUUCAUGGUUAACACAAACUUUUGUAGUUCAUACCAACUAAAUAAUAUAAUUUCACAAGUGGUCUCAGACUUUUGGACCCCACUAUGCAUAUUGAGAUGAUGAUAAUGUUUAAAAAAAUAAAUAAAUAAAUAAAUAAAUAAAAAAUAAGAACUUCAUAUGUAUGGCCCAGUGCUGCAGUCCAGAUGAACCCAGGACUUUGACAGUGAAUUAGUUGAUCUCUUUAUUCAGCAAAAUGCAGCUGUUCUCAUGAAUAACUUCAUUAUUCAUGCAAAUUACUUAGUAAUUCUGACCAAAACAGAAAUAAAAAUAAUAACCUGAUGUUUUUAUUACCGUAAUGCAUGGAAUAUAAUAAAGUCAUGUUGUCUUCUUUAAGCCAUGAGAAAUGAGUUGUUUUAUGUAUCCAGCAGGAGGCAGCAUUUGAUCAUGCAUUUUGACUUGGAAAAAUCUCUUCAAAAUCAAUGUUUUUUUUUUUUUUUUUUUUCUAGUCUGUUUGCAUGGAUAUAAGUACUUUAAAAGGGUCUGCUUUUAAAAUGGCAACUUAAACACAAAACUAAGCAAAGCUUACUGGCUUACUGCUACUGCUUUGAAAUAUAUUCACUUAGGUUUGUUUAUAAAAAUAAUACCAACAUAUAUAUAUAGAGAGAGAGAGAGGCUAGAGUGAGGGAAAACGUUUUUUCUGUGAAACAAACGUUAAGCGUGUUAGAAAAGUUAUCAUAGUUUUAGUAACAAUGACAUAAAUUAUAAACAAAGUAGAAAAAAUGUCCAGUGUUAUUAGAUUUUUAACAAAAAUGUAAUUACCCCCCCAGUCUGACAAAGCUAUUUGCUUUAAACAUUUACAGCUAAAUCAGAGUACAAACUUAAAAUAAAAAUGUUUUUUACAGUCUGUGAUCUGGAGCCAAGUAUCUGAAUCAGGAAGUUGGUCAUCAGUGACAAAAGAUAAACAAUUUCUGUUCUUGUUCCGUUACAAGAUGCAUCUACAAGCCUCCGCUGUUCUUCUUUUCAUUCUUCUCACUGGAGGGUUUUCUCUGGUCUGUUAUGACUGCUUGAAUCAACAAGGUCCUUGUGAAGAACAGAUGACAUGCAAUUCUGUAAAUAACAGCUGUACAAGUAGAAGAGAAGUAGAAUACAAUGGUGACACAGUGACUGAGACCAAUGUUACAACAUGUGCAUUGCCAGAUGAAUGUGAAUCCUGGUCCUUUAACACAGGCUACAAGAGGAGAUCACAUUCUAUCCAGUGCUGUCACAAAGACCUCUGCAAUAAACAAGUUGGCCCAGAUUUGUACUCUGAUCAGAAUGGCAAGAAAUGUCACACUUGUCAUGAGGAGGACUGCUCACACACAGUGAGUUGUCGGGGGAAUGAAGACUUCUGCUUUACUGGCUACGAGCCACCGAUUUUGAAAGGAUGUGCCUCUAAGUACUUCUGUGAUCAUGCAUGGAAUUUAUCUCGUGUAAACAUCACAUGUUGUUCAGGGAACCUGUGUAACAGUGUUAAGAGUGUCACUCAGAGCUUCCUGUUCCUCUGCUGUUCUCUGCUCUCCUUCAUCCUGCUGCACUGAAUCCAGCAGCAAAGACCCUCCAAAUCAGACACAAUUUAAUUAAUUACUGUGCAUUAAAAACAGAAGCAUUAAUUUUCUGAAAUCAUUUGGUUAUCUUUUAAUAAUAACAAGUGGUCUAAAACAAUGAAAUUGCAAGAUCAUGUUUUAUUUAACAAUUGAAUAUAAAUAGAAAGACAAUUUUUAACAUGGUUCUUCAUGUUUUACACAAACUUGUGCAGUUCAUACCAACAAAAUAAUAUCAUUUCACAAGUGGUCUUAGACCUUUGGACCCCACUAUGCAUAUUGAGAUGAUAAUAAUGUUUAAAAUAUAUAAAAAUUAUAUAUAAAAAAAAACUUUGACAGUGAAUUAGCAGAUCUCUUUAUGUAGCAAAAUGCAGCUCUUCCCAUGAAUAACUUGUUCUGAUAAAAUAGCGCGCAGCACGCAUAUGAGCAAACGUGACGUGUGCUCGGGGCGGUGCUAAACGCUGUUGGCCAAUGAAUUGGGGUGAUGGUAUAAGGCAGACCUGGGCAUUGUACGGCCCCCGGGUCACAUCCGGGUCUCUGGCUAUCCUUGACCGGCCUGCGUGAGUUAAUUGUUUAAUUAAAAGUCAAUCGCAAAUAUGUGUAAUUAUGUGCAUGCAAUACAACCACACUGCUUUUAUUUUCGAAGUGCUAUUAUUAUUAUUAUUAUUAUUAUUAUUAUUAUUAUUAUUAUUAUUAUUAACGAUUACGUCCGUUCGUGUAACCGUAUCUCAGGUGUGUUUGUGAUCAUAUAGCUUUCAAAAAAUGUGAGUUUGCCGUUAGCAGUAAGAGAUUCUUUUUUCUUAUUUUUGUCUAAAUAUUUUUCUUCAUUACACGUCUUGUUUGGUCUAAUUUCGUACCACUGCAUGUUACAAAUAAUGUACUUUGUUAGUCUUAUUCGCAUAUGCUAGCAUUUUUAUAAAUAUGUGUAAAAUAUUAUAUAUUCAGCAUAUUUUACUUAACCUAUUUUGUACCUAAUUAUUUAAUUCAUAGUAAUUAAAACAGAUUUUAUUUUUUUAAAGCGACAUCUUGAUGGACAACUAAUAAUGAUAAACAAGCGCCAUCAGUCCGUUAGAUCAUUUUAAAAUGUCAAAUAGCCUUCAGUUUAUAAGUUAUAACUGCAUCUGUCUCGGAUGUAGACUGAUCAGGAUUUAUUUUAAUAAACCAACGUUUAUGCGGAGUGUGGGAUUCACCUAAUGCAUGACAGAAAAGCGUCCGCGCGAUCACUUGUAUUUUUCCUGAUAAUGAAACUAAUUUAAUUUCUGUAAACUCAAAAUAACAACAAACGUUGCUUUUGUAAAAUAAUGAGAACAAACAGGACGAGCUUUCUCCCAUCUGUCUCUGAACCGCGUCGCAAAAAAAAAAUAACAAACUCAUCGUAUGACUCUCACAUACAUGAGAAAUACAUCUAUAGAAAGUUUAAAAUGUCUACUUUUAAACAAACAAAUUCAAAACGAAAUCAAACACCCCGAUUAUGUCAUCUGUAUGAAGGUUACAUUUCUCUCUAAAGGCGUCUCCGUUUCAUACGGAUUUCCGUAGUCGGAUAAAUUCCGAUUUUACAACUGUCACGUCUGUAACAUUGAUUUUUUCCUCAGAAACAAAAAACGAAUUUAUAGAAGAAAACGAAAAAGGUAUAUAGCCUAUGUUUUGUGAAUUGCCAACCUUUCUCCAUCCGCCAGAUAUUGUUGUUUACUGAUACUUUUCUCAGGGUUUUAGAAAAAUAUAAAUAGAUUGUAUAAGUUAUUGUUAAUGAAUACACUCUAUGAGAAUUUAUGUUUCAGGUUUUGACUGCAAAUGUCACGUCCAUAAUGCUGAAACUGUGUGAUGCUAAUCUUUGAAAUACUUACUUUUCUGUACGAAGUUGUGAUGGUGGUUUUUGAAACACUGCAAUAUUUUUUAAACUGUUUUUUGUGAAUGUUCAUUAAAUAGUAAUAUAAAUACACAUUCGCAUUG